AUGGAACUGAACAGUUGGUUGUCGGUGUACAGAGGCGGCGCGACGACAACAACACGAGGAUGGCACGAGGGGCAUCCUGAAGAGGAGAGUGCAGGGCCGGCGGCUACGGCCACCGUGACCACAUGGCUGACGAGGAGGGGAGCGGCGGCGUCCACAGCCAGGACUUCGGCCACCGCGACCACGAGGCUGACGAGGAGGGGAGCGGCAACAGCGGGUCAAGAUCUGGGCCGGCGAUUUUUUCUGAGAAAGGGGAGAGGGGAGAGAUGGGAUCGGGGCCGAGAGCUGCGGAACGAGAUCCCCUGA
rnacentral:rRNA from 1 species